rnacentral:rRNA from 1 species
CCUACGGGCGGCAGCAGUGGGGAAUUUUGCGCAAUGGGGGAAACCCUGACGCAGCAACGCCGCGUGAGUGAUGAAGGCUUUCGGGUCGUAAAGCUCUGUCUAGAGGGAAGAAAUGAUAUUGGGUUAAUACCCUGGUAUCUUGACGGUACCUCUGAAGGAAGCACCGGCUAACUCCGUGCCAGCAGCCGCGGUAAUACGGAGGGUGCAAGCGUUGUUCGGAUUUAUUGGGCGUAAAGCGCGUGUAGGCGGUUUGUUAAGUCUGAUGUGAAAGCCCUGGGCUCAACCUGGGAAGUGCAUUGGAAACUGGCAGACUUGAAUACGGGAGAGGGUAGUGGAAUUCCUAGUGUAGGAGUGAAAUCCGUAGAUAUUAGGAGGAACACCGGUGGCGAAGGCGGCUACCUGGACCGAUAUUGACGCUGAGACGCGAAAGCGUGGGGAGCAAACAGGCUUAGAUACCCCAGUAGUC